AAGGAAGCGGGACUGGCGCCGCUCGGUGGCGCUGCUGGGAUCCUGAGAGGGUUUUUCAUGCGUGUCCAGCCUAGGAAAGAGUGUCAGGACCUCUUUGCAUCCCUCCCCAACCCGAGCCCCAAGAGAGAGGCAGUUUCCCUAGAGAAAGCAAGAGCUGGGAGUGGGCGAUCUAGAGAACGACGCGAGUGGGGCCGAUCACCCGAUGUUAACACAGGACCUGACCCUGACGUCAGGGCCCUGGUGGCCGUGCGACCCAGGCGCAGAGAUGAGUGAAGCCUCGUCAUCAGUUCGGAGGCUGAGAAGCGCCUUCGCUCCUGAGCCUCAAGGCCCCCUCUGGUGUUUCUGGAAAGCUCCUGUGGCCUGGGCUCUUCCGCACACAGAGCCUGCUCGUGUGCAGCCUGGCCAGUCUCCAGAAGACCCAUGGGGGUCUCAGUGCCACCAGUGGCCUCUUCAUUAUGAUAUACUUGGAUCUUGCGCCCUAGGGGUGGGGUAAAAUAACAGCG